CCCCUUUUUCCGGCCUCAUCCGGCUCCGGUGAGUCAGCGCUGAGCAGCCGGGGCGGGCGUGGCUGGGAGUGGGCCGUGGAAGGGGAGGCUCCGCCCGCAGAGGCCGCCGAGGAGGCCGCGUGGUCCCAGGAGGAAACUUUCAAAGGUGUUUCUGCAACAUAGCUCCAGCUGGAGGUGCUGCUUAAACUCUUCAAGGUCAAGAUGAAUCAAACUCAGAGGAGGCUUUACCCCUGGACCAUGCAAGCUCCUGAGGUCUGGGAGGAACUGCUGACAGUGAAAGUGGAGAUGGAAAGUCGCCUCCCAAUGCAGGAAUCCCGACUGAGAUGGAGUAAUCCCCUCAGGGAUUUUUAACCGAGGGAAAUUUAUCUGAAAGCACUUUCGACAGGAGAUCCCUGGGCCCUGCGAGGCCCUCACCUGGCUCUGGGAGCUGUGUCAACACUGGCUGCGCCCUGAGACCCACAGCAAGGAGCAGAUCCUGGAGCUGCUGGUGCAGGAACUGUUUCUGAUCAUCCUCCCGAGAAGCUCCAGGCCUGGGUGCAGGAGCAGCACCUCGAGAGUGGGGACAAAGUGGUGGCUACCAUGCUGGUGGACCUGGAGAGGGAGCUAGAUGAAUCACAGCAUGAGGUGGUAGCUACACACAGGGGCAAGAAGUCCUCUCCAGAGGGACAGUGCCUCUGGGACAGCAGACAUCACUGAGGCUUCAGUCCCAGCCCAGAGGACCCCAGCCCACAUGGGAUGCUGCUCAGGAGGCCCAUCCCUGGAGAGACAGCCAUCUUUUCCUUUAUUCUGCCUUCCAAGCUGUAUCUAGAACCUACUGGGGACUCCUUUCUUCAGGACGCACAUCUGAGCAUGUCCUUGCUCCCAUCUGCCCAUUGCUCGCCGCCUCCCUCCAUCCAGUCAUCCAUUAAGCAUCGAAUAUGGCUGCUGGAGAGCACCCAAGGGCUCUCUUACAGGACUGUCACUACAGACACAUUUCUGUUUUCCAAACCUGUUGCCAUCCUUCAGCUAUAAGGACUGAGAGAACCAUGGUCUGACAACAGAGGAGUACUCAGAGGCCGAACAAGCGGCUGAGCAGGAGCUCUGGUGCAGAGGAACCUGGCCCUGAGGCAGCUGAGUUCCUGGGGGGAUAUCUAGGGAUGGACCUGGGAGGAAGGCCCCUAAGGUCCCGACAUGGAGUGCUUGGGGCCCUGCUGGUUGGGCAGCCCCCCAGGGCAGGAAGGGCAGCAGCUAUGUCAUGCGUGUGAGAAGAGCUUUGCCCAGAGCUCGGCCUCAUUGGCCAGCGGAGAACACCCCUGGGGAGAGAUGCUGUGUACGUGAGGAGGGAGGAAGGACCUGCCAGUGGAACCCAAGGGGCCACAGCCCACAGAAGCGGCCCCACUCUCAGGAGUGCAGGAGUGUGGGAAGGCAUUCCCUCAGAGCAUGGGGCUGACCCAGCACCUGAGGAGCCCUGGGCCAGGGAGACCCCACCAGGGCAGCCGUGCGGGAAGAGUUGCUGUGGGCCUGCCUUACUCCCUGAGCCCCAAAGAGCCAACAGGCGAGUGGCCUCACUGAUGCAAGGGUGGGAAGAGCUUUUGCCACCACUGCAACCUCAUCCACAUCAGAAGACCCACGCGGGGCUGAGCUGCCUUGACGGUUGCCUUGUGCAGGUUUUCCGGGUCCCUGGCCGCGUUGUCCGCACAGGUGGAAGCUAGGAAAUGCCUUGCUUCAUGUCCCCACGUCCCCUCUCCGUGUGUUUAGGAAGAAGUACUGACUUGUGGUUCGGGGGCGCAUCCAAAGAGGAAGGUGUGGGCAACCUUUACCAUUUCCCGGUAGCCCGGUCUCCAUCCCUCACUGUCAUUCUCUCUGAGAUGCUGCGAAACCUUCUUGAUGACAUAAUCAUGGCACUGCAAAAUGUGGUCCUGUAUUCCCGAGACACUGCAUCCAGAUAGAAUCAGGAUUAUGGCUCUGAGUAGGAAAGGGAAAAUGGAUGUUGGGUGGACAAUGAGCAAUCUCUGCCGGAGACUGAGAAGAAACAGAAAGAUUGUCAAAGUUCUAUCCCUAAGACAGCACCAGGUUCAGUGAAUUUCACAGUAAAAUGUAUAAAAUGUAUAAAAACUCUAAAAAAAAAAAAAAAAAAACUCUAAU